UGCGCCUGAGGUUGAGAGGCUCCCUCCGCCAGCUGCCGGAUCUAACUUGUGGGCCUUCCCGGCGCGCCGACUUCCGCGCCUGAGCGGCCGUGACGUAGCCGGUCUCCUCCUCUCGUCCUCCCGCGGCGCCGGUCUCUUGUGACGUCAGCAGCAGACUCCUCUCAGUCGAUAUAGUGCUAAGUGAGGGGCGGGCCGGAUGGGCUGGUUGCCUGCUCCUCCCCAACCUGAACUUGUUUUGUAAAGGAAACCUCUUGUAAUUUCCUAAGACUUUAGAUUAAAUCUUUAAACUGUUCCCGUUUCCUAAUAAGGGAGAAAACGGCCCUCACCCUAGUUCCAGCUCCUUCCAAGCUGAGAGUUCUGUUAGAAAUCACCUAGAAGAACCUUGAAGGUAGAGAAUCGUUCUUCCUCCUCAACAGUUGGCAUAGCCAGCAGGAUAAACUUUAGCUGGCUGGACACUGCUGCGGCUGAGAGAUUAUGGGACAUCUGACAAAAGCUGGCACGAGGGAAGAAUCCCCAUCACCACAUCAGCCAACUGGAUCUCUGCCUGCCAGGUCUCGUGCAAGUGAGAGUGAUGAUACAAUUGGAAACAUGGGCUAUAUCAUCAAGGCUUUGACGGGGAUGUCAUAUUUGAGGGAAACAUGCAUAGACUCAGAUAUGACCAAAUAGCUUUAAGGAACUGAAGUUGACUUAAUGGAGCUAAUAAAGCCCAUUGCAAAUAUCAGCCUGACACCUUGCUUACAGAGUAACCGGCAGCCUUACAAGAAUCAUUGAGAAUUAAAACAGACUUCUCUCCCUGAAGCCCUGCAAACUAAAUAUGAAUGACUUGAUAUAAACUUCAGGAAAAUCAGCACAGUAGAUAACAUAAAGUCAGCGCUGGAGGAAUAUGGACUACCUUACGAGGGCUAAAUUGGGUGGCUUGCUAAGGAACUUCAAUAAGAGAUGCCUGGGACCCCAGCAAACAAUACAGGAAAACCUUUCCUCAGCAAUUUGGUAAUUUAUACCUUUGUAAGCUCUGCCUGCCUGAUCACCCCAGAAUUUGGAAACUCUCAAAGAGAUUUGGCUAGCCAACUGACCUAGGAAGAGAUGCUCGACAUCAGAUAUCAUUAAGAAGACCCACAAGGAAACCCCAUGAGGUACUACCUCACACCAAGCACACUGGAUUUGAUCCACCAAUGAUAUCCACCAAAGGGAACCCUUGUUAUCUCCUGGUAGGUAAGUAAAUUGGUGCAACUGCUAUGAAAAACACUAUGUUGACUGCACAAACUAAAGAAGGAUCCAGUGAUUCCACUCCUGAGUAUUUAGUCAUAGGAAUGGAAAAUACUACUUCAAGAAGAUAUAUGUACUCCUAAGUUUAUUGCCACUUUAUAUUCUUUUGCAAUAUCCAAGACAUGGAAGUAUUUAAGGGUCCAUCAAUAGAGGAAUAGAUA